GGCAGCAUUGGAGUAGCAUACUUCAGAUGGCGACCGGCGCACGGGUGAGUAACACGUAUCCAACCUUCCGCUUACUCGGGGAUAGCCUUUCGAAAGAAAGAUUAAUAUCCGAUGGUAUAAAGAGUUCGCAUGUUCUCUUUAUUAAAGAAUUUCGGUAAGCGAUGGGGAUGCGUUCCAUUAGAUAGUUGGCGGGGUAACGGCCCACCAAGUCUACGAUGGAUAGGGGUUCUGAGAGGAAGGUCCCCCACAUUGGAACUGAGACACGGUCCAAACUCCUACGGGAGGCAGCAGUGAGGAAUAUUGGUCAAUGGACAAGAGUCUGAACCAGCCAAGUAGCGUGAAGGAUGACUGCCCUAUGGGUUGUAAACUUCUUUUAUAAGGGAAUAAAGUGAGGGACGUGUCCCUUUUUGUAUGUACCUUAUGAAUAAGGAUCGGCUAACUCCGUGCCAGCAGCCGCGGUAAUACGGAGGAUCCGAGCGUUAUCCGGAUUUAUUGGGUUUAAAGGGAGCGUAGGUUGACGUAUAAGUCAGCUGUGAAAGUUUACGGCUCAACCGUGAAAUUGCAGUUGAUACUGUAUGUCUUGAGUGUACAAGAGGUGGGCGGAAUUCGUGGUGUAGCGGUGAAAUGCUUAGAUAUCACGAAGAACUCCGAUUG
rnacentral:rRNA from 1 species